CACGUAGGGCGCAAGCGUUGUCCGGAAUUACUGGGCGUAAAGAGCGUGUAGGCGGCCAAGCAGGUCCGUUGUGAAAACUGGAGGCUUAACCUCCAGACGUCGACGGAAACCGCGUGGCUAGAGUCCGGAAGAGGAGAGUGGAAUUCCUGGUGUAGCGGUGAAAUGCGCAGAUAUCAGGAAGAACACCAAUGGCGAAGGCAGCUCUCUGGGACGGUACUGACGCUGAGACGCGAAAGCGUGGGGAGCGAACAGG
rnacentral:rRNA from 1 species